rnacentral:tRNA from 1 species
UGGCUUAGAGGGUAAAGCAUCUGCCUGCAAUGCAGGAGACCCGGGUUCGAUCCCUGG